ACUCUUUUAGCUUAAUGGUAAAGCAUAAUACUUCUAAUAUUAUGAGUCUAAGUUCGAAUCUUAGAAAGAGUA
rnacentral:tRNA from 1 species